rnacentral:rRNA from 1 species
ACUCAAAGGAAUUGACGGGGGCCCGCACAAGCGGUGGAGCAUGUGGUUUAAUUCGAUGCAACGCGAAAAACCUUACCUACCCUUGACAUGGUUGGAAUUUUUCAGAGAUGAGAAAGUGCCCGCGAGGGAGCCAAUACACAGGUGCUGCAUGGCUGUCGUCAGCUCGUGUCGUGAGAUGUUGGGUUAAGUCCCGUAACGAGCGCAACCCCUAUUCUUAGUUGCCAGCAAGUAAAGUUGGGCACUCUAAGGAGACUGCCGGUGAUAAACCGGAGGAAGGUGGGGAUGAUGUCAAGUCAUCAUGGCCCUUAUGGGUAGGGCUACACACGUGCUACAAUGGCCGGUACAAUGGGAAGCGAAAUCGCGAGAUGGAGCGAAUCCUGAUAAGCCGGUCGUAGUCCAGAUUGGAGUCUGCAACUCGACUCCAUGAAGUCGGAAUCGCUAGUAAUCGUGGAUCAGCAUGCCACGGUGAAUACGUUCCCGGGCCUUGUACACACCGCCCGU